GAAACCGCGAGGCUAACCUGAAAGAAGCGCGUAGCAAAAGCACGACCGUAGGAACACGAACGAGCAGUGAGGCCGAGUGCGGGCGAUAAGUGUGCUAGGGAACACGAAAUCCAACCGUUACCGAAAGACGCACGAGGUAGAGCUUGACGGCACGGGCUGAAAGUUUUAGCAC
rnacentral:ncRNA from 1 species